rnacentral:lncRNA from 1 species
AUUCAUCAUGCGAUGGUGGGAUGCGAGUUACCAUUGGAAGUUUGGGCCACAUAUAGCAUUUAUUGCGAUACCUCGCAAAAACAGUGAUGAUUUCCAGGAUCAAAUUCUACAGUGUGUGCUUCAGAACUCAAUGGAAAAAAGGCAAGUUGCUAGUUACCAUUUGUUGGGCUCUUUGGCAUGCAAGGAAGAAAUGGUUACAUCAACGAAAGAAGGAAACCACACAAGCUACAUCGGGGUUCAUACGGUCUUAAAUAGCUGAAUCAGUGAGGGCUGAAGGGUCUUUACCUGAGAAUCGAAGCUGAUACCCUGUCCGGCGGGAACCAUCGGUGGAAUGGAUAGUAAAGGUUAAUUUUGAUGUGGGGUUCAGAGCCACAACCAGCACAUCCACUUCAGGAGUAACUGCGAGGGAUCGAAAUGGCCUGAUUUUAGGGGCAUGUGUUCAUACAAAUAGUGAUGUUCCCAACCCUUUUACCAUUUAAGUUAUAGCUUGUGUGUAUCCCUUGGACCAAAGUGUUUAUAUAUAUAUUAUGGAUUAUAGAUUAUACAUGUAAAAAUAUUUUUGAUCAAUGACUUUUUUGGG